UAGGGAAUCUUCCACAAUGGACGCAAGUCUGAUGGAGCAACGCCGCGUGAGUGAAGAAGGUUUUCGGAUCGUAAAGCUCUGUUGUUGGUGAAGAAGGAUAGAGGCAGUAACUGGUCUUUAUUUGACGGUAAUCAACCAGAAAGUCACGGCUAACUACGUGCCAGCAGCCGCGGUAAUACGUAGGUGGCAAGCGUUGUCCGGAUUUAUUGGGCGUAAAGCGAGCGCAGGCGGAAUGAUAAGUCUGAUGUGAAAGCCCACGGCUCAACCGUGGAACUGCAUCGGAAACUGUCAUUCUUGAGUGCAGAAGAGGAGAGUGGAAUUCCAUGUGUAGCGGUGGAAUGCUUAGAUAUAUGGAAGAACACCAGUGGCGAAGGCGGCUCUCUGGUCUGCAACUGACGCUGAGGCUCGAAAGCAUGGGUAGCGAACAGG
rnacentral:rRNA from 1 species